UUAAAUUGAAGAGUUUGAUCAUGGCUCAGAUUGAACGCUGGCGGCAGGCCUAACACAUGCAAGUCGAACGGUAACAGGAAGCAGCUUGCUGCUUUGCUGACGAGUGGC
rnacentral:rRNA from 14 species